AGAGAUCUCCUCCCAUUGUCUUCGCCUCCCUUAUCAGACCCCAUAACCAAGCAACAACCACCUACCCUUACAUCGUUCCUUCUUCACUCCAUCCCUACACCAGCCAUAUUUUUGUUCAUUUUCAUUUCCAAAACACAGCAUCUUCUUACCAUUAAAAGCUCUCCGAAAUCACAUAAAAACGACCUCGACUUCAUCUCCAUAAAGCCACAAAAAUUAACCACGAGAUCUAGCAAAACCACACCCCAAAUCUGUCCAAACACAGCAGAAAUGUAACAAAAACUCUAAUGAUUUGCAACAGCUCCGGCUUUUCCAUUUCACUCGUGAAAUCAGUUUUGUAGCAUGUAGAUUUAUCUCCGCUAGAUCACUACUUUUUCCGGCGUUUAGCUGGAGUUUCACCAUCUCCGACCAGCUUUUUUUUAACUAUAAGACGUAGCAGCUUCAACUCCUUUAACUGUUGUUGGUCUCUUAAGUCGAGCUCAGUCCGUCAAGGUUGUCGAGGUUCCGGCGCUAUCACAUUUUCUGUUCGAAUCCUUGUCAGAUUGGUCGAGCUUCGAAACAAUAUUGUAAAGGUGCACUUUUCGAAUUUUAUAUUGUUUCAUUUCAUUGUUUUUAAAUUGGUUUGGUGUUAUGUUGGUUUGGUUAUAUUCUAAUGGCUACCUGAUAACUUUAAUCUCGUUUCAGAUUUCCGUUUUUUUUUUUUUUGUUAUUUGUUUUCUAGCCCCUUUCACUAUUAUUCUACUUCUGUGUCAUUUUGGAUUUAUCAUUUAAAAAAAAAAUAUUUUCACUAGGAGCGGGAUGAAUUUAAUGGCAUAACAUUACAAAAGGCAUGUGAGGAUAGUACUAGAAAACUGUACGAAAGGUGCAUGCACUAAAAGAAGGAGAAAUUUGACUGCACCUUGAAAUCGUGGCUGUCUUGCUCGUCAUGUUCAAAUGAAUUUAAAUGAAUUUGUGUUUGUCUAUUUGGUCUAUAUUUUCCAUGAAUUUGUUUCAUAUGAAUGGCUUUGUAUCUGGGUCACGGUUGGAUUUAGUUUUAAUUUGUCAAGUUAAUUUUGUUCUUAAAAUGUGUUGGUUUAUCUUAAGUAAUGUAGUUAAUUUUCAGCUUUAUGUAUUUUCUUUCUUUUGUUUGUUAGUUGAAAUAUAAAAAUAAUGAGUAGUUAGUAGUCACGGCAAGAUACAUGUUAUGGAGAUUAUAGUUUGUUAAUAUAGGAGAUUAGAUUAAUUUCUUAAAAAGCUAUAUUAUGAUAGAGAAGUUGCUUAAAAAUUGCAUCUUGUUACACGAACAUGAUUUUGUCAUAGUAUAAAAUUAAGGUGCACUGUGCCAAACAAUAUCACAAAUUGCAUGGCCCUCACUUAAUUGACUUUCAAUCUUUAGAAUUCGAGGCAUGCCAUUUAGUUGAAUUUCCUUGGCCCUUACAAUUUUAAAUGCGUAGUUGCUUUAUACGCGUUAUUUUAAUAAUCCACCACUGGUACAAUAGGCACCCAGGCUUGACAAGUUCAAGUUUAUCUUCCUAAAUUCGGGUGCGCAUUUAUGUGACCCAAUUCAAAUCUCAACGAUGUUAAAAUAUGUCGAAAAUUGCGGAUGCAUUUAUGUGACGUGGUUCAAGACGUGAUUUAACAAUGUUGCAAUAUUCCUAAUAAAUAUUAAAAGCGGUAAAGAAAUAAUUUAAAAUUACACCAUAGGAUGAACAUGUAUAAAAAUCAAAACUUUUAGCCAAGUAUAAUAGUUUAAGCGACCAUGCUAGAACCACGGGAUCCGGGAGUGCCUAACACCUUCCCCCGGGUCAACGGAAUUCCUUACUUAGAAUUUCUGGUUCGCAGACUCCAUUUGGGUAGUCAAAAAUUUCCUCGAUUUGGGAUUCUAAAUAAACCGGUGACUUGGGACACCAAAUCCAAACCUAUCUCAAGUGGCGACUCUGAAUAAAUAAAUAAUCUCAUUUCGAAUAAUGUCACUUAAAUUGAAAAAACUCCCUUAUACGUUUAGUCAAUAUGGGAGGGGGAACAUUCUAUGGGGAAGAUAACAACUUCGAAUAAAAAUUACCAAAUAACGAAGAAAGCAGCAUAGCUAGAGAUCAAUAAAGAAUCAAAAAUCAAUAAGUGCAAGGCAUCACCCUUCGUGAUUUUACUCUCAUCCUCACCAAGCAAUGAUAUAACAAAAAUAUGCACGGCAUCACCCUUCGUGCUUUACUGUCAUCCCCACCAAGCAAUGAUAUAAUAAAAUGUGCGCUGCAUCAAUCUUCGUGCUUUUACUCUCUUUCCUCAAUAUAAUCAAUAGAAUUGGCACAGAAUGGUACAUCGUGCGGCACAACAUCACCCUUUCGUGUUUUAACACUCUUUCCUCAUAAUAGCAAACAAUACACGAUAUCACCCUUCGUGCUUUAACACUCUUCCUCACCCAAACAAUAAUCACAGACAAGGGGAAAGAGAAUAAACAAAAUAAUAAUAGAAAUUUCGGCAAAGGUACAACAUCAAUAAUAUCAAUGUCCCGUCAAGGAAAAAUAAUCAAUAAGCUACAAUAUCCUGGCAAGGGAACCAUUUAAAUACCCUUUCUCUUACUUUCACUUUUAUUUCAUAUCUCACUUUACCACUUGAGCCAAUGCUCAAAGGGUUCAAUCAUCUAAUAUACUCUCACAAUUUGGUAUUAUAACUCGUGCCAAUGCUCCUCGAUGUUCAAAUUUCACCAUUCCUUUCCCAAGCUUUUCACAACAUGUAGAAAUCAUCACUAAGGCAUGAAAGAAACAAUGAAAUCAUGAUCUUCACAAUGUAGGACUCACGGUCAUGCUAGACACCAACGUAUAAAUACUCGUCAUCUACUCGUCACCAUGCCUAUACAUCAUACUCAACAAUUAUCACAUAGCAAAUAUGACUCAACUCCUAAUCCUUCAAUCUAAGGUUAGACCAAACACUUACCUCGAUGCCACAAACGCAAUUCAAGCCUCAAUUUUCGCUUUACCUCUUGAUUCCACCACCAACUCGCUCGUAUCUAACCACAUUACUUAAUUUCAUCAAUAAACGCUAAAUGAAACAAUUUGAAUGCAUAAAAAUAAAUUUUUCAAAGCUUAACCCAAAAAGUAAAAAAUUUCCCCCUAACCUAUGCAGCCAAAACUCGAGGUUCGAACAAAAACCCGGCUACCCAUUCCUCAUGACUCAAAUAUAUAAUUUGUUUAGAAAUCGAACCUCAAAUUGAGGUCCAAAUUUCUAAUUUUUAAAAAACCUAAGUUCUACCCAAAACACCCAAUUUCCCCCCCUAAAAAUCUUUGAUUUUAAAUUGAAAUCAUGUUACAAGAUGUUAAUAAUUGAAGAAAACUAGUUAAAAAUGACAUACAAUUGAUUUGGAGAAGAAAGGUUGCUUGAAAAAUUGUCUCUUAUAUUUUAAGAUUUUGAAAAAGUGAAAAAUAACUGAAAAUUCCUUCUAUUUAUACCCAUGGAAGACCCUCUGUGCGGACCACACUAAAUUGACCGCGACCGCACAGGCUCAUCUGAAGACAUGCGGUUCAGCACCCACCGCGGACUGCACAAAGGUGACCGCGGCCGUGCUGCCUCAACCGCGGACCGCACAAAGGCGACCGCAGCCACGUUGGCCUCUCCUCAGCUGCACGCGAUUUGUCGUGGACCGCACAAGAGGCUUCAGAGGCCUACAACCUCCUGAACCUACAACAUUUAAUUUUUAAGCCUAAGACAUCAUGGAACCUACCCGAAACUUCCAAAUAUGCACACCACUUCAAAAUAUUCUAUGAACAUAUUCGUGUAAUCAAAUUACCAAGAUAACAUCACGAGCAUCGAAUUAAAACUUAAGAUUACUAAAAUUUCUCAAAGCUCAUUUGAACAUCACAUUUCCCAAUUAAGAUUCGGAUCACAUCAAACAACGUUCAUUUUCAUCUAAAUUUUAGAGAAACAUCUUAAUGCAUAUAUAAGACAUUUACCGGAUGCCAGAACUAAAAUACGGGCCCGAUACCAACACGUUCCAAUAAAAUAUCAUUUCAAUUUUUUUUAAUAAUUUCAAAAAAAUUAUUUUCUUUAAAAAUUAAUUUGUUGGGCUUGGGACCUGGAAAUUUGAUUCCAAGCAUGCGCCCAAGUCUCGUAUUUUUCUACGGACCAUCAAAUCAUGGGUUUGGGUCCGUUUUCCCAAAAUAUUGACCAAAGUUAAAUUUAUUUUAAUAUCAAGACUUAGCAUUUUUCACAUUUAAGCUUCCAACUAUGCGCCCGGACUGCGCAUACAACUCGAAACAACUCUAAAUGAAAUUGUUAUGGCCUUGAAAGCACAAAAUUGGUUAGAAACAGGUGAUGACCUUUUGGGUCGUCACAUUCUCCACCUAUAAAACAACUGUUAGUCCUCGAACGGAUAGAAGAAGGAAGUACCGAGUCGGAAAAAAGAUGGGAAUAACGGCUUCGCAUAUCGGAUCGGACUCCAAGGUCGAUGCCUCAGGAGGCUGACCUCUUCACUGAACACGAACAUAUGGAAAACUCUUUGACCUCAACUGACGAACCAGCCGGUCUAGAAUAGCCACCGGCUCCUCUUCAUAAGAUAAGUUCUUGUCCAACUGGACAGUUCUGAAAUCUAAUACGUGGGAUGGAUCGCCGUGAUAUUUCUGGAGCAUGGAAUCGUAAAAAGCUGGAUGCACGACAGACAAGCUCGGUGGCAAUGAAAGUCUAUUAGACACCUUCCCACUCAAUCAAGAAUCUCAAAUGGACCAAUGAACCUAGGGCUAAGCUUGCCCUUUUUCUCAAAUCUAAUCACGCCCUUCAUAGGUGACACCCGGAGCAAUACCCGCUCACCAACCGUAAAAGCCACAUCUCCAGCCUUGCGGUCUGCAUAGCUCUUUUGCCUAGACUGAGCCAUACAAAGCUUAUCCUGAAUUAUCAUGACCUUGUCCCAGGCCUUAUGAACUAGAUCCGUCCCCAACAACCAAGCCUCGUACGGGUCAAACCAUCCAACCAGGGAUCGACACCGCCUAUCAUAUAAAGCCUCAUAAGGAGCCAUAUAGAUACUUUACUGGUAGCUGAUGUUGUAGGCAAACUCUGCUAAAGGCAAAAACUGAUCCCACGAACCUCCAAAGUCAAUGACACAAGCUCGGAGCGUAUCCUGCAAAAUCUGAAUAGUCCGCUCGGACUGGUCAUCCGUCUAAGGAUGAAAUGCUGUGCUCAACUCAACCCAUGUGCCCAACUCUCGCUGAACUACUCUCCAGAAGCGCGAGGUAAACUGAAUACCCCUGUCCGAAAUGAUAGACACGGGAAAACCAUGAAGGAGAAUAAUCUCCCAAAUAUAGAUCUUAGAUAACCUCUCAGAUGAAUAGCAAGGCUGAGAGAGAACAUUAUUAUGCAGCGAUAGCAAGGCUGGAGAUGGAUUUGAGGGAAUUCCAUGAACUGAAUCAGGUAGCCGAGCGAACUUUAGAGGCGAUGGCUGAACAAAUUGGGCGUUUGUUGCUAGAAAAUGGUGUCAUUAGGGAAAGAGUACGGGCGAUCGCAGAUUACAUCACCACAAGGUGCAGCCAUUUCGAGGAUAUGACAAAAUCCAUGUUCUUUGCCACCGCUAUGACUUUUGUCUGAUAAGAGAUGGAAGACCUCCACCACCUCCAAGGGAGUCUAGCACGCAGGCCAGCAGAAAGGCCGAAUGAUGCCCCGCGAGGCCCCCGAGAACUUGGAGCAUUAAUAUAUUCAUAAAGAUUGCACUUCCUUUUGUCAAAAUAUGUUUUAGAGUCUAUUAGUUCAACCAAUAGUCUGUAUUUUCUUUUUGCAUAGUUAGUUGUUGUUCGAGUCUAUAGUUCGAUUUUGUUUGAUCUGCCACCUUUCGAGUUCUUGUAAUUGAAGUCUAUUGUUAUGAGAAUGGAAAAAAUAUGAUAUGCUUCGCUUUUUACUUCCAAGAACUACGCUCAGUCUGAUUCAUGCGGGAAGAUGAUACGUAGGCAAUGUACAUAUGAUUUGACAAUAAUUGAAUAAGAAACUGAAUAAAUAUGGGAGAGGGAAAGAAUAAUGCUAAAACAAAAGGAAGCUUCGCAGAUAAAGGCCGGGAUGACGCAAGUAAUCAAUACGCAUAGGGACUAACUGUCAUUUGUGCGUGCAUACCCCAUAUGUGGCCAGUUACGUGUUAGAACCUAACCACUAACAAGUUUUUGGUGUUGUGAUGUCCAGUUCCAAAUUAGACAGGUGACUAGUACUCGCAACAAUCAUGAAACUCACUCCUACAACACGCGUUUGAAAAGCGAAAAAGUCAUGGCCAACCAAGAAGCUGAUGUCAGCAUUAUUGGCCCCUCGAAAGAGGCAGAGGAAUUGGAAGUUACUACUAUGAAAGAGGAAAUGUAUAAGCUUAAACACCAAAUGGCCGAGAUGUACCAGGCAUGGGUAAGAGGACAGUCACCUCCGACCUAUCGUGCCAACCCAACCUUCAUUCCACCACUGGCCCAAGCACUUGACCCGUCCGUCACUGAUCCACCUCCAAGUUUUCCUAUAUACUCACAGCAUCAGGGUGCUACCUCUCAGCCACCAGCCCCACUACCCAAAGCCACUCCUAACCUUCCCCCGCCAAUCACUCCUAUCUGUGUGGCACUUCUGCCUCCUACAUUGCGUAGGUCAUCUAGUUAACCACUACUUCAAGCAUAUGACCCUUAAUACUAUCCACCAGAACCUGCCUACAAAACCCAAGAACCUUAUUCCUAUGCUCCCCGUCCUGAAAUCCCAACAGGAGUUAAAAAAUCGACCAAUAAUCCUGACAUGGAGGAGAUUCUUAAAAAGGUCCGGAGUUUGGAACAAUCCUUUAGAGACAUGCGGGGAUUAGGUGGCCAGGUGAGCGUGGCAUUCAAGGAUCUUUGUUUGUUCCCGGACAUGCAGUUGCCUCCAGGUUUCAAAAUGCCUAAAUUUGACUUAUAUGAUGGUCACAGUGAUCCAGUCGCACAUUUGUGAGGGUUUUGCAGCAAAAUGAGAGGAGCAUGGGGAAACGAUAAAUUGCUAAUGGCAUACUUUAGCUAGAGUUUGAGUGGAUCGGCAUUGGAGUGGUAUACUCGUCAGGAUCCCAAUCGGUGGUAUACCUUGGAUGACUUGGCACAAGCGUUUGCCUUCCCCUUUCAUUAUAAUCUAUAAAUUGUCAUGGAUCGUCUAUCUCUGACAAAGCUGGAGAAGAAACACAACGGGAGUUUCAGGGAGUACGGUUUUGUUGGAGGGAAUCAGCAGCCAGAGUUGAUCCUCCCAUGAAGGAGAGUGAGAUGGUUGACUAUUUUCUACAAGCUCUGGAACCUAUCUACUUCGGGCAUUUGGUAUCAGCGGUAGGAAAGUCCUUCAAUGAAGUUGUCAAGAUGGGAAGCAUGAUUGAGGAAUGCCUCAAAUCCGAUAAAAUCAUGAGUUACUCUGCAAUUAAGGCAACUACCAAAGCCAUCCAGGCUGGAGCUGGGGGAGCUUUCGGGAAAAAGAAGAAGGAGGAAGUAGCAACGGUAGAGUCGGGGAACUUGGUUAAGGCCUCGGGCACUGUCUCAUUACGCCCAUCCCCGUCUUCACCACCAGACAUACCCACACACUCCAUAUGGCCCGCCACAGCAAUACUAUCCACCACCAGAACCUCGCUUCUCAGUCCAUCAUGCGCAAGCAUAUACUCAACCUCCCGCUCUCGCCCAAUGGUGUGCAUCACCCCCUAAAAGCACUUACCCAACCCUAAAAAACCACUACGAGCCUGUGAGAGCUUACCAACACCCCUGAGGCCCACCUUCCAAGGCAAUCUGGCCCUGAGAAAUGAGCGGGUACGGAAAAAGAAGACUUUCACUCCGCUGGGAGAAUCUUACACUAGCCUAUUCCACAGGUUGCGACAAUUGGAUAUGUUGAGACCAAUUGAGGCGAAACUGCCACAUCCUCCCCCAAAUAAUUCAGAUUAUUCAGUCAGCUGCGAAUACUGUUCUGGUACACCUGGGCAUGACACCGAAAAAUUUUGGCAUUUAGAGAACGCUAUCCAAGAACUUAUUGACUCCGAUGGGAUUGAGGUGCAGACUCCUAAGACACUCAAUAUUAACCAAAACCCACUGCCGGUCGAUCAGGGAAACCAACAUGAUUGAAAUUGUGGAGAGAAAGGGAGGGUUAAGAAGACCUUCACAGAUAGUAAUGAUGAUCAAAGCCAAUGAAUGUAAGCCAACUAAGGUCGCAACCAGUUAGAAGCCGCUAACCGGGGCAAAAGAGGGAAGCAAGCCCGUCACAAUUCAAGGGAGCUUAGCAUGCGCAGCUACGCCAAAGCAGGAACAUGUAAAAGUAACAGCACAUGGGGCAGAUAGCAAACCUGUCGUGGUUGUGGAAGGUGACCGCAUCGAGCAAGAUAUUGUGAAACCAGUGAUCCAACCACCCAUCAUCAACAACAAAGUCGUCCCUUGGAGAUAUCAACAGGCAAUAGUGAUGUACAAGGAGAAAGAAGUGAGAGAGGAAGUUUGUAAGGCACGGGGUUUAACUCAUUCAGGAAGGUACUUUUCCCUAGAAGAAUUGAGGAAGGCCAGAACUUUUUAAGAUAACCCAGAGCCGGUGAAAAAGGCUGUGUCAGAAGAAGAGGCAUAGAAUUUUUGAAGAAAAUAAAAAUGCAGGACUACUCCACUAUAGAACAGUUGAGGAAGACACCAACCCAGAUUUCUUUGUUGUGCUUGUUAAUCCACUCAGAUGAACACUGCCGGGUGUUGAUGAAGAUUUUGAAUGAGGCACAUGUCCUAGACAAGAUAACAGUGAACCAUUUGGAAAAGAUUGCAAAAACGAUAUUCAGGGUCAACCGGGUCACAUUCUCUGACGAUGAAUUGCCUAUGGAGCCGAUGAAUUCCCAGUCAUCAUUGAAAUUCUUCGAAUCUCGUAAUUGUUGUGACCUUCUAUCAUGUAGCCUAUAUGUGCACCUAUGUGACUCUUUUCUCCUACUUCCUUAAGCUUUUAGACAAUCUCUAGGCCUCACUUUGUUAAUAUAUACAAACUAUGGCAAGUUGCCCCUCUAGGCAUCUAUAGGUGUACUGAAGUCCUUCGUUUGGUACUUUAACGAACUUACGACUAUUGCUAUAUCUUAUUUCAUAGCCAUGUAUAUCUAUCUUUAUAGAUUUACUAUAUCUAGGUAGGUUAUACUAUGCCAUAACACUUACUUCAGUUUAUUAUUACUGAGGUUAGCUACCCAACAGUUGGCUACUCUCUCACUACUUUUCCUAUAUGUAUAAAUCUAAGUCCUUUAGUGCUUUCUCAUUACUAUUCAUCUUAAGAAUAACAAACAAAUCUCAUUUGGUACAUUGAAACUUGUAGCCAUCUAUUAUUGAUUCACCUUAAUGUUGAUCUAUAAUCUAUCAUUGAUCACUUGAAACCUCUUUUGUAAUACAUGUCGUUAGAGAUCACGUUUCAUUAGGGAACAUCUGAAGUUAUGUUCUUGAUCCAUCUUGGGACAAUACAAUACUUCAUUAACUGUAUUUCAUAGCAUUCCAAUGUGUUUCAUGUUAUAGGGGUAAUUUAACCUUGUACAUUGGUAAAAUCCCCUUUAUUUGAAUCAUCACCCAAUCAAAGGUCUAAACAUCAUCCUCUUGUCUGUAACGAUUACACCUUUAUUCUACCAUUAGGGCAUAAUUCCAUCUUUUCUAACUUCUCCUAGUCUUAAACUCCUCUGAGUUCACCCAUGCUAUACUUAGAUUUUUAUAACUUUAUGGAAACCAUCAGCUCUCUUGUUGUGAUGGGUUUAAUCCUAGUUACUUACCUAUUCUCGUCACCUUCCCACUCACCUUUUCUUAUCCUUACUCCCGUCUAGCUAAAACUUUAUCGCUCUACCAUACUUUAGCUUGUGACCUACAUAUAUCUAUUUAUACUACUUGCAAUCUUCCUUUAACUUGCAAGCACCAUAUAUUUCCUUAUGUUGUUCCGGAACCUCAAGCGAGACAUCAAAUUGUGUCUAACUCUAAUUUACUCUCUUAACUAGACCCCCCUAUAUCUGGAAAUCGCAUGCUGAAAAAUAUGUUAUGAACGAUACCACUAUAAUUUCUUGAUACAUAAUUGUGAUGCUUCCAGCCCUCUAUAUGAUAUCAAGAUUAUUCAUAACCUUCUGUACUUGGACAUCUCAUACCUUCUUCACAUGUACCUUACUUACCUUUAAAUCUUGCAUCAUAUCUUCUAUCUCUUUCAUAACCUCCCUUCCACAUAGGUGGAAUUCACAUCCAUAUCUUAAAGCUCUACUAUAAUACUUGCACAUCAUGUGCAUACACAAUCCGUCAAAAAUUGAUGUUUUAAGCGUCAAUACCACACAAGAGGGGGGGGGGGGGGAUUUGUGUGGUACUCAAUUUUUUCUUAAAAUGCAUAUGAAGGACCUGGUUCUUCUAUGUGUUCCAACUACUACUAUUGCUGAAUAAUAAUUACAAAAAAUUAGGAAUAAAGAGAUUGUAUGUAGAAAACACCUGGCUGUACUAACACUACUAUUUACGGAAUAAUUAGUACAUAAUAAAGAACACAGAGAAUUUUACAUGGAAACCACCUAGCUCAAAAGGUGAAAAAACCAUGACCUACUACUCAGUAGGAUUUUCCCAAACUUCCACUAAAAUCAGUUAGCCAAAACAACAUUUAUAAAACCUCUUUGUAAACCUAAAGAUUUGCUCUAAUCCCGUUGUAACACACAACCUCAACUGCUACUACAACUUCAAGUUAACUCUAACUUGAAAACUCUUACUACCUAAUACAGUUGCUUCUAUGAAAGUUGAAAGGUACAAUAAUAAAUCACUUACUACAAUUGACCAAGAAUAACAGAAAGACACAAAUGGAAUUGGUUCUUCUAUCUUUUUGAAGUAGCUUCAGGAGUGCACACUUAAAUCUCACAUAAAUUGCUUGCAAAAUCUCCUUGCUCUUUUGCUCUCAAUUUAGUUUAACUUCUGCGUUUGUGCAAUACUUGUAAAGGAGAACAAUCACUGUUAUUUAAUGGGUUAGUAAUUAGAGUUUGAUUGGGACUCAAUUACUGAUCUUUCAUCGAAGUUGAGUGCUUGAACAUCUCAACUCCAACACUAUCUUUUAUCCGUAUUGUGUUCUCUUCACAUAAGGAGACUUUCUCUCCUUAUUUAAUAUGCAACCUUUUCAAUCAAAUCAGGAGAUAUUGGUGCUUGAUCGAUGGGAUUAUCUCAUUCAUCUGUAUCUCACAUGUGUAGGUUGAUCAUGACUGUGCUUUAUAUGAUGGACUUGGUCCAUGACUGAGUUCAUUUGUCAUUCUUCAAAACUUAAUCUAUUCUUGGGCCGACAAAUUCCCCAUUUUUGAGGAUGACAAACUCUGUGCUUUGGAACCUGUAAGAACUCAGCUUAACCAUUAACAGUAAACAUAGAAAAUUUACUUAUUAUCAGGUACCAAGUAAAUUACCUUAUAAACAUAACUAAUUUCAGAAUUUAACAAGCACAAUAUCUUCCCCCUUUUGGCAUCAUCGAAAAGUUGCAUACAUAAUGUGAAUCCCAGAUUUUAAUAACUACUCAUGGCUACUGGGGCAACUAUAAGUGCAAACAUUGUGCUAUCAUCAGUAAUCAAACACACAUAUUUAAACUAUCAAGAGCAAAAUGAUCAUUAAAAAAGCGAAAACAACAGUUGUCAUUGAUAGAGACAUGUUCCCACUAACAAUUCAAAAAAGAAAGAAAAAAAUUCAACCAUGAGCAAGAAAAAAAACAUAAAAGUCCCUAAUCUGGGUCACUGAGGGUGCUGAACAAGUUCAGGAGACAAGUGAUAAGAGUCAUAAAGCUUGGAGGAACUGGAGGGUUGAGUUUGGAGAAUAUUCAACAUGUUCUGAAGAAUUCCUUCAUUCUUCUCCUUUUCUUUGGCAUGUUCAGCUCUAAGACCCAUCUCUUUGAGUUUCCAAUUCAACCAUGCCAGCCUUGAGCCUAGCAUCCUUAGCUCCAUAUUCCUGAUCCAGUGUCCUAACUUUGCCGUUGAUGGGUGCCUUCAGAGAUGAACCAGGUUCAACUGGGAUGACAUUGAUUGGAUAGUCACAAGCAAGAAGAGUUUUGAUGCCAAAGUGUUCCUUGCUCGAGGGUAUUUCCUACUUCAUCAAUGGAACAUUUAGCAUGUCCAGACCUGUAGCCAGUAUGAAGCCAUAUGGAGUAGCAUGAGCAUUGGAGCAAUAUAUGACCAUGUCUAGCAAUUUGACAAUAAGUGCAUGCUAGUUGAUUUGCUUUCCUCUAUCAAGGCACUCCAUAAGAACCAUAUCCAUGUAGUUAGCAUUGUGCCUUAUCUCUUGUCUGGGCAAUAAGCAUUUGUUGACAAACUCAAACAAAACCUUAUGCUCUGGCCGCAUCUCACUUUUUUGCACAGCCCUGGCUUCAUUUACAUCCUCUAAAUCAUAGAACCUUUCGGUAAUUUCAAGGGCAGUAGGGAAGGAGUCCAAGCGUGUCCACCUUUGCCUAGUAUAGUCAUCAAACCCUUCAGAGGGUAUGUCCAGAAUCUCCCUUAGGUUUUCUCAUCAAACUGCACUAGGACUCCCCUAACCAAGCUACUAACAACUCCAUCCUUAACAUCAACAUUAGACAUAAACUCAAUUAGUUCAUUUCUGAAUAUUCUACCUUCCAUUUGAUUGACCAUGUCCUUCCAACCUUGAGCAGCUAAUGAGUCUACCAAUCUCACCAUCCUUGGUUUAGCCAGGUCCUUCAACAAUCUACUUUUAAAUUUUUUCUUCUACCAAAGAUGGAAAACUUGUACUGUUCAUUCUCAAAUUCAUUCUCUUCUUCUUCUUAUCCACUCCACUCUUUAUCAUCUAAAACUUUUGUUUGUUUAGAUUUUACUGCAGAUCUUGUUCUCUUGGCUAGUGAGGGUUCAACAGACACAGGUACAGAAGAAGAUUUCUUGAGGAAGUCUUGGGCUUUUUAGGUUUGGAUGUAGGAACCUCCACUGUUGUACCCCUUUCUUGAUAGACCAGUUCCAUCUCCUCUUUCUACAACCUCAGAGGAUUCUGCAAUCUUUCCCUUUUCUUUCUUCAUUUUCUUUUUCUUGCUUUCUUCUAAUGCCUUUUGUAAAUCAGCUUCACCUUGUUUUACUCUACUUCUUGUGGCUCUACCCUUAGGCACUGAAGAGGCUGUAGAUGUUGGGGAUGAGGCAUUUCUUUUCUUGGAUGGCUUGCAAAUAUUCGCGGCUUUUGGUGUGGUAGCUUUGCAUUUCUUUGGGUCAUAACUUGCUCUAAGCUUUUUAGUAGGUCAGCCAAGGUUUCCUUAGUAGAUGAAACAUGUUCAUCUCUAUGUGUGCUAAGAUGAACCAACCCCUCAACUGCUUCCCCAGAAUCACCUCCCCCCUAUUUUAUGCCACUAUUUUCUAACUUUUCUUGUGCAACCCCACAUAUAGCCAAAACGUUUCCCUUCCCAUGUCCUCUCUCGUCUCCACUUGCAUCCUCUCUCUCUUUUCCUUUCUUUUUACCAGUACUCCUACUCGACUCAGGAAAUUUAACAUCCUUAAUGGGUCCAACCAGAAAAAACCUAGUUGCUAAGUUUUCAACCAUAGAUUUCAAUUUUAGAAGACCCAUGUCCUUCACCUUCACUCACAGAUUGAAAGUAUUCAGACUCAUAGCUGGAGUCGGAAUUUUGAGCUGGGCUUUCUUUCUUUUGGCUAGCUUUCAACCUUUCAUUUAGAACCUUCCUCAUUGCCCUAGAUGCUAUAGUUUUUUGAGAAAGCAUUUUCUGCCUUCGAAACCUAGGUUUUGGAGAUACAUUGGGUGGAGUAGAUGAGGGAUAUAGUGGUGGAGGAGUGCCAGGAUGAUAUUGUGGGUUAUACAUGAUUGUUCGUUUCUUGAGAGAUUUCAGAAUUUUUGGAGUAGAGACUAAUUAGUAUUGAAGAACAAUUUUUGACAGCUUUAGAAUAAUGAAGAAGCCUGGAGAUGUGGUGUGUAUUUAAAGAGAAUUAGACAUUAAUUAAGUAACGUCAGCUUUUUCAGGGGUCAAAUAGAAGUCUAAUCAAACUAAAUUUAAUUUUAAUGAUCACUUUGGCUUCCCUAGAUAUUAGGCAAAAAUCACGGUUUUAGUGUUCUAGAUGGACGGAACUGGUUCAAUGCUCAACGGAUAGAAUUUUUUAGGAGUUUGACAAGUAUAGGUCUUCUGCUCAUGAUUGAAUUAUUAAUCUUUCUAAUUGUGCAGAUAAUGGAAAACAUACCUGAGCAUUCAUAUGAGUCCAUACUGAUGAACCGACUCUUCAUUUAGAACCCUCUUGACCAUGCCUUUUUUUUGGCAAUCCACUAGGCGUAGCCUAGGGUUAGGUUUUUAUUAAUAACAGAAAAUAAANNNNNNNNNNNNNNNNNNNNNNNNNNNNNNNNNNNNNNNNNNNNNNNNNNNNNNNNNNNNNNNNNNNNNNNNNNNNNNNNNNNNNNNNNNNNNNNNNNNNNNNNNNNNNNNNNNNNNNNNNNNNNNNNNNNNNNNNNNNNNNNNNNNNNNNNNNNNNNNNNNNNNNNNNNNNNNNNNNNNNNNNAGUGAUAUUACAUAUGAGGAUAUUAAGAUGGUUAAAUAAAAAUAUGAUGAAGCGACGAAGUUGCUGUCCUUUCUCCAACUUUGUGAUGAAUUCAAAAAGAAUUAUAUUGAUUUCAUCCACAAAUUUAUGAAACGAUGAAGUUGUUGUCCUAUCUCCAACUUUGUGAUGAAUUCAAAAAGAAUGUCUUCCAAAUUCAUGCUUUGUUCUUUGUUCUUUGGGUAACCUGUUUUUGUUUUGCAAUUCUCAUUGGGGGCCUCCUUAUGUUUGCAUAUUUGACCACCCUGCCGUCCCAGCUUCUGCCCCUUUGGCGACACUUUUUACUUGUUUUAUUGUGCGUUGGUGACAAAUCCCUAUUCUUGCCGCAUCUUUACGACAAUGCGUUAAGAUAUUCUCUUCCUCACCUUCUUCAUAUAUAUGUCUUCCUUCCAUAUCAUUCUGGAGUUGUCUUUGCUCUGAAGAGAUUAGCGGAGCAGAAGAUUCAUGCUGGAACUGUCCAACAAGGCAGUACAUUGGUGUAUUUUCAAUCAUUUGCUGCCGCUGUCCAGUGUGUAUAGGUAUAAUCUGAUUUUGUCUACAGUUUGCAAUGCUUUUUUUUCCAACAGCUGAUGUUUCACCCGAGAAUUGGAUUACAUUUUGUGUUGUUUCUUUUUGGUCGAUCUUUUUGUUGUCCUUGAAGUACCUGCUGUUGUAUUAGUUUUUGGAAUGAAAACUGGAGCAUUAUGGUUUAAAAUGCUGUUUGGAUUUGCUGCAGAUGGCAUUUUUUCAUUCCAAUUUAUAGUUGCAGGUUUCCUUUGAAAUUUUGGCUUGAUUGGAGCUUCAAUGUCCUCUCCUGAGCUUUCCUAACCAUCUUCUUGGUCUUCUUGUGCAGAUGAGGAACCAGCAGUACCUUCUUCCCAACUCUCCUCAUCCUCAUAAUGUCGUUGAUCCCAGAGUUUUGAUUUAAUUACCAAAUCUCUCAUAUUAGCUAGAACUAGAUGUUUGUUCUUUCCAUUGAAGCUUGAAAAUUCCCCAUAAUCAUUUGUACCUUUCUCUACAAGUGUACUGGAUAAAGGAAGAGGAGGAUAACUUUUAACCAUCUUUAACGGACUUGCUGUUGUGACAACAUCAUCAGUCACAGUUUUAGCUCGAUCUGCAAUACUUUGCAGUGUAGAAUCCAUAUUUGGCAGAAUACAGACUGCAGUGACUGCUUCAUUAUGCAAUGACCUAUUGGAACUGUUGUUAACCUCAGUAACAGAUGCUUUAAUGUCAUUAUGCAAUGACCUAUUGGAACUGUUGUUAACCACUGCUGUUAGUUGAACCUUAUUCUAGUUUUGUUGUCCUUUGGAUAGUGCAAUUAUAUUGCUGUCCUUUGCGCCAGAUAUUUGAUCCGACAGAAUAGAAUUCUGCAAAAUGUGUUGCUGGUCGAUCAAAACAUUUUCCUGCCUUUUUGCAUUGUCAUUUGUUUUCACAGUAACCAAACUUGAAAGCUCUUUUUUUGAGUCAUCUAACAGAAUUGGCACUGUUGGCUUCUCUACAGGUUCAGCAGAUAUAACAGUUGAAUCUGUAUUGACAUUCAAAACAGAAUCCUCUACAAUUGUACCAUUUCUUUGAUCAGAAGAUGCACAGUUGUGAGCCAUACUAUUUUGUAUCAAGAGCUGCUGCCCGAUGGAUUUAUCCUUAUCUGAUUGUCCAGCAUGAUCAAACAACUGUCCAGUGUGUGCACUAGAUGUGAUAUGAUCUGUAGAGGUCAGAAGUGUCCCAACACUAUCCACAUAUGAAACAGGUACAUCCCUAGCAAUAACAGGAGAGCGAUUGUCCACAAUCAGUAACUCAUCUAUAGACUUCUCUGGUGCUGCUGCCUGUGACACUUCUGAAACAUUAGUAACCACAGCAGCCUUCAACAUUAUAUGUUGCUAUGUGUUUCCUUUAUCAAUCACAGCAGAUUGGGAAGUCUU
rnacentral:lncRNA from 1 species